rnacentral:rRNA from 1 species
UACGAAGGGGGCAAGCGUUGUUCGGAAUUACUGGGCGUAAAGGGCGCGUAGGCGGUGCACUAAGUCAGGCGUGAAAGCCCUGGGCUCAACCCGGGAAUUGCGCUUGAUACUGGUGCGCUUGAAUCCAGGAGAGGUUGGUGGAAUUCCCAGUGUAGAGGUGAAAUUCGUAGAGAUUGGGAAGAACACCGGGCGGCGAAAGGCGGCCGAACUUGG